UACGUAGGGGGCAAGCGUUGUCCGGAUUUAUUGGGCGUAAAGAGCGUGUAGGCGGCUUUGCAAGUCCGUUGUGAAAACUCGAGGCUCAACCUCGAGACGCCGGUGGAAACUGCAAAGCUAGAGUCCGGAAGAGGAGAGUGGAAUUCCUGGUGUAGAGGUGAAAUUCGUAGAUAUUCGCAAGAACACCAGUGGCGAAGGCGGCUCACUGGCCCGAUACUGACGCUGAGGCACGAAAGCGUGGGGAGCAAACAGG
rnacentral:rRNA from 1 species